UAGCGCAGCCUGGUUAGCGCACCUGACUGGGGGUCAGGGGGUCGCUGGUUCGAAUCCAGU
rnacentral:tRNA from 1 species